GGGGCGAAAGGCAAAUGGGGUUUCUUUCUCCCGUCUCUGACCCCGUUCGUUCGACAGCUCGAGCCCCCUUGAAGCACCUCUGGAUACUCUCUCUCUCUCUCUCUCUCUCUCUAUCCGUCAUAACACAGCGAAUCGGUAGGCAAUUGUUGUCACCGCAAGAAUUCUUCGACCUUUCGUCGGAUUCUUGCCCAGAAGCACUCUACGAUUUUUUUCUGGUUUCCUUUUCGUUCUGAGUAUAUCUUGAUCAAAAUCCUUACUUUUCGUGUCUUCUGUUCCCCACAGGGAACCAACUUGUCUGCCAUAACAGAGCUCAACCACCAGAGCGUGGGCAGCGUGCGUGUUUGUCUCCUCUCUCUAAUUCGUUUUCUUUUGUUUAGCAUCUUUGUAUGUUUAUGGUUCAGCGAUGCCCUUAUCUGGAACUAAAAAGUAUCCGAAAAAUGAAGUUUCUUUGACGUAUUUCUUUGGAAUCGGUUGAUUGCAAGACACGGUCGAUAGUAUGUCUAUGCUACUUUUAAUUGAUGGUGGCGGCAAUGGGAUCGAAGACAACCUGUGGAGACUAUAAAGUUGGGAUUUUUAUGCUGGCUGAUAAUGUGAUAUGCGGAAUCGUCAUUUUCAGUUGUUCUUUUGUUGGAGGAGUGAGGGAUUGAGAUGUCAGUGAUUGUUUGUUCUAAAGCAUUAUCUGUUGGAAAAUAAUUCUACUAAGAAAUCCAGUGUCAUCUGUAUUGGUGUAGAUAGUGUUGUAUAAGGCAUAAGAUGAAUGGUUGAUAAGGAUUGAAUCUAAUAUUGACUUAUUAGAUCCGAGAGAUAAGUAUGUUGGAACUUGGAAUUCUUCCCAGUUUUAGAAGAUUCAUAGUCUGUCCUUGAUCUGCUUGCAAUGGAUAAAAGUCCUGACUGUAAUGAACUCAUAACCAUAAUGAAGGCUUCAAAGGUUCUCACAAGUUUGGUGUACUUGAUCAUAGUUCUGACUUUUUUUCUCACUCAUUCAAUUCAGAUAUUACAUAAUACACAUAGAUCUCUUCACUGCACACAAAACACCUUAAACACUAGGAUAUCUCCUCAGACGUGUAUGCUUGUGUGUGUCUAUGUUUUGCUUUUGAAGCUCUUGAGGUUUCCAAUAUAUCUAUUUCACAAGUAAUGCCUUUCUAGGUGUGCAUACUGUAUUAUUUUUAUUUUCCUCCAUCUCAUUCUUCUUAGCUAUAUGAAUUAAAAAUCUCUUCUUGAUAUCCGUGUUUUAGAAGUUGGAUGCCCGUAUAUAUCGGUUAAGACAAAGGCAAAUACUUAGCACUUAUAGGUGAAGUUGUAUGACUAUCUGAUUACAGUUGCUACUUGCAUUUGAAACGGAGCUAGAGGAGCUGAUGGCAGGUGCUUGGAAAGGAAGAAGAGGUAUAAGAAGUGGUAGGAUGUACCUGAGCACAAAAUUUUAACUUGCAAACUACUAUGCAAGUAUGACAUACACCAUUUUAUAUCACAAAUUUGCUUGUAACAUAAAAGAGUUUAGUUGCUCAUAUACAUGCCACAAGUGACUUGCAUGCAAUCAAAUAUGAAAUGUGGUACUUGCUGCAAAAAUAUUUCUUCCUCAUGGGCAAUCCAAUGCCCUGUGCAUCAAGGUGAUAUUCCGGCUUUUGGUAGAUUCUCAAAACAUUUGGUGCCAAGAGGACAUUGGUUCAAAUGCUUUGACCCUUUAUAAAUGCAGCUUGAGCUCCAUUUACUGACUGCUUCCAUGUUCUUUUGCAGAUUGUUUGUGAUGAUCCCUAUGGUACACUUACAGCAAACAAGUGAUGGGCAUAUAAUCUGCAAAAGUUACUGGGAUGUGGUAGAUAUAGAAGCGAUCUUAAUGGAAGUCUGGUGUAGCUUCAGUGAAUAUAGCUUUAGUGAAGCCCUCAAUAGCAGGUCAAGCGAAACCCUGAAGAAGCCAUCUGGGAUUGGGGCUGUCCCUUUUGAUUGCAAAUAAGACCACUUUAGCUUAAAGGGGAAUAACAUCUGUACUAAGCUAAUGUCUUACCUCUUCAUAAAUGACAGAAUCAGCUUGAGCCCUUGGAAGAAACCUGAAUGCCAAGCAAAUUUUGGUAGAAAGAGAUACACUCUACGGCUACAUUUGCCUCAUCGAUUAGUUUGACUCCUCAAGAGUGAACAUGAAAGUAUUAUAGUGUCUCUUAAUGCCUUAAUAGAGGUAAUUAUUAUUUUCCAGAUGUAACCAAUGGAUUCUAAACUUCUGCCUAAUUGUGCUCUCUUUGGCAUACAGAGAAGAGUGUAUUCGUGUUAAGCAUUUUUUGUCCCAUUGAUUACAACUCAAUAUUGUCAGCUUGUGAUGGACCACCUGGAGCUGAAGGCACGAAAGACCAAAGAAGAGCAUCUCUUUCCAUGGGACAAAGGGGACAAGGCAUGAAAAGAACCACUGACCUGGGGUUGAUGGAUGGAGGAAGACAAGUGGCACAGCAGAGCCUCUACUUAAUCUUGUCAUUCUCAGAUCAUGAUCUCUUCUUCUUGGAAAGGAAGCCUCCUCCUUGUUGGUCACAGGGACCACUAGACGACGACGACACUACUACGGAAUGGAAGGCAACAGGCAGGUUCGUAGAUUCUUCUUCUACUUUAAGCACAGCAGAGGAAUGAAGACUUGCUACCAAAUUAUUAGUAAAGUUCAUGGCACUAAAAACGUUAGUGUCAGCAUGUUUAACAAAUAACUGUUGUAUCAGUUUUAGAUUGAUAACAAAAACAACAAAAGUAACAGCAACAAUAAUGACAUGAUGAUCAUAUUAGUCUAGCUUAAUAGUUUUCUUUGUUAUCAAUAAAAACCAUGCUUUCAUGUAUGAUAUAAUCAAAUAAAGUAGUGAAAAGAUAAUAAGAAUCCUUAUACUAAAGCAAAAUCGAAGCUCGAAUAUAGUCAAUCAUGCUCUAAGCUUGUAGAAAGUUAAUAAUGGAUAACAACUAGCAAACAAGAUCUUCCUGAUCUGUUUAUCUCAAUGACUCUUGUAUCAAGGUAUCAUUCCUGCUCUUUGUUUUAGCUUCCAGCUUUCUUUCAUGGUAAUAACUUCUGGUCAUGGAAGAUAAGAUUUGCAGAGGCAUCUUAAGGUGGCAAGCUAAGGUCAACAACUAAUCCAUCUGCUUAUAACCAUGUGUAUCUUCACAAUAAUGAUAGACACCACUUAAGCACAGUUUACAAUGUUUAUUUCCCUUCUGCUAUAGUGGUUACAGUGAGGACCUAGACUGAAUAAGUCAUGAAAGACUUGUUUUGACUGUUUGACACUUGAGCUGCAUGAUUAAUUUCUUGAGGCAAUCAAAGGAAUAGAGUGCUGGCCAUGAUUAACAGAUCAAAAAAUUACUUAGCCAGCAUAAUGAAGGAUGAUUCAGUUGACAUUUAAUGCACAGUAAGAGUUCAACAGCUUUGUGGAAAUCCAAUUCAAACUUGGUGACUUAGUGAGGAAACAAACAAACAGAGCUGCAGAUCUCACUACUGCAUGAGGCAUUAACUAGCAACAUCCCUGUAUUUGUCCUUAUAUGUGUCUCAAUCUUAAGUUAGAUCAUAGUGUCAUUGCAAGUGUUGAACUCAGGAGGAAUACAUGCAUUACAACAGAUCAGCUUCAAUGGAUAAAAAUAUAGAAAUCCAUAUAUAUAGAUAUGGCCAUAAGUAGCUAUAGAAGAUCAAUGAGAUGUUAACAAUGUGAGUUGGUAGACAACCAUGCAACUUAGAAAUAGGACAAGUAUAUCUUCACCUCAAAAUAGGCCACAAGCCCUAUCCAAGGCAAUAUAAAACAAUGUCUUGCCUUUGUUUUCAUAUGGUAGUUUCCUUUAGCUCUGGUUUCUGUAACUCCAAAGAGGAGCUAGCUAAUAUGAUGUUCCUUCUCACAAGGAAGGAACAUACAAAAGCAGCUAUAUAAUGAUUUUUUUCACUUUUCUUUUCUGAGGGAAAAUGGACUAGCAUAUGUACUAACUGUUUCUGGCACAUCUGUAGGUUUGAUGUGAUCAAAUCACAAAAUGGUCCUUUGGCAUGCUCAGCCAGAUUUGCCAAUUGAUGUGGUAUUGGCAUAUUAUGUGUACUGAAACAAGGUGGAGAAUAAAAAAUGUUGAUCUUGCAUAUAAUUAAUUUUUUUUGGAAAUAUAACUAGUUUAAUUGUGUAUGUGGGUGUGGUUUUCAAAGAAAUCUUCCAUUGAUUUCUUAUGCCACCAUAAAUCCAACUAAUUGCAACUAGGUGACACAAUAUCUAGAGAAUGAUAUCUAGGCCAGCACAAUAAUUACUAGAAAAUAUUUUAUGGUGGUUAGCCAGAGCUUAGAUAAACACCAAGAUCAGGUCAUUCAUUCCUGACAUGAUCAACUAUGUUUAGAACAGGGUGACAGUUUGAGACCAUGGCAUCUGUUCAUAUCCACAGAAAAAAUUCUUAGGUAAGGGAACCUUUCAUUUCUAGAAGAUGUUGUAGCACUCAGUGUGUGGAGACUGAUACUAUUCUAAUUGUUGUACAAGACUGUCAAAGAAUGUUCAUUUACUUUCUAAGUUGAAUGAAAUACCAAAUACUGAUUCAGAGGAGCUUGUGGUGCAACUUUAUUAUUAUUUUUUCUUUUUUUGUUUGAAAAAAAGUGAUACAGUUUAAUGAAGCUUCAUAAUCAUCCCAGCUAGUGAAAAUGUCAUUUCCCAGCUAGCCUAAAGCUUUGUCUUUACUACCAUCACUCCUAUUUCAAGUCUCCUAACUCUUGCUAGCCUCUUGAAAUUUUCUUUUCUCCAUGUUCCUGCCACUGAAGGUGUCAUAAACUUUGAUGCAAGAGCAUCAGAGACUUGCACAAGAGUCACUUGAUUGCUUCAUCUUCCUGUGACUCUCUGUUCUCCAUUCUCUCUCUCUCUCUCUCUCUCUCUCUCUCUCUCUCUCUCUCACCUCUUCAUCCAACUUCAAACUUAAGUAUAUUGUGUUCAUAAUGAACUUAAAUCCUUUGC